GUGAACUACAAGCAGCUGAGUCUGUGAACACAGAGGCAGUGAAGAGAGAGGAAGAAGACCCUGACUCCUGCUACAGGUUCAUCCGUGUGGAGUAGUUGGAAAUUUGAUCAAGAUUGGAAAUGAAGUGGAGGCAUGAGGUGGUUUGGAUGGAUGUGCACUGUUCCUCCCAGGCAGAGGGCAGCGGGUCAGGAAAGCGGGAUGCAGAGUCAGCCUUGAUGCUCCUCCCAGGGCACAUCUCAGACCAGCUGGCUGUAGUGGGCAAGAAGCGUAAGGGCUGAGAACUGACUGCAGAAUUGGUUGCAGAGGAUGCGAUGCCAAAGGUGAGCGUGAACCUGCCCCUCCCAGCUGGGGGGCCUCCUCUCCAGCAAGGACCUUCUGCUGCCCAGAAGCGUGAGCUCAGGAGAGUUUGCAGUCUGCUGGAAGACCGCUUCCUCCUCACCUCACCACGUUGCUCUCACCCCAGCUCCAUCUAACUGUGUUCUCAGGAAAGUGCCUGACGCAGAGACAAGCAUUAAAGCAGAUGACGGGCAGCUAUAAUGCAGUCAUUUUCUCAUGAGUAUUUUCCUCCUAAUAGAGAAUCAUAUCUUAACUCAGAGGAAAAAGUUGUUAAUGGUGGGCUCUUUUAUACACUUACACAUGCUAAAGAACACAAAAAGGACCACCAGGCACAUUUCAAACCGGGGGGUUGGGGGGAAGUGGACACCUACAACAGUCGUCCCCAAGCAGGAGCAGAUCCAGCUCCAAAAUAAAUAAAAGACGUGGUACCUCACUGCCUGCCAGUAACAAUGUCUUUGAAGCGGAGGAUUCCAGCUGCUCUGCCCCCAGCAUGUAUUGCCUUGCUAUUGAGCAUCACACCAGAACACCCUCACUUCCGCCUCUCAUGUUCUUGAUUUGGGAGCACUCUAGCCAACUUCCUGUCAAAUCUCACCAGAGACACCUGCAGCAGAGGAAGAAGGCCCAGUUGUGGCCAUUGUUUCAAACCAGACCUGACAACCUACCUGCUUGGGUAGAGGAGAAGGAGGAAGGGGCGGGCAUUGGCAGUUGAAGGAUUAGAAGGCUUAAUAGCUACUCUCCGCGUUUAACUUUAUGAUUCUGUAGUCUUUGAAACAUUAAUAACCUACUUGAUGACAUCUGUGGUUCCCCAGCCCCCACCUCCGGGAAUGUCGAUCCUGAAAUGGGGCCUUUUGGGGAAGUGGCAUACACAUUUUUGUUCUUUCUUUUAUGACUGUGCAUCCCAGCCUCUGUCAGACACAGCAAAAGACUUCCCUUUGCCUAGACAAGUUUCUCCUCAUUGAUUGGAACCUUUUAUCUGGACAUCAGACGUUAUGAUUCCCCAGCACAGGACUGGACUUGCUGAUAACUGAGAAGUAUUCUGACGGUCAGCAUACACCCCAUUGGACCUACCUCUGUUUUCCUCCAUGAUUGCUGUGAUGAGAGAGAAACUUCUAGAGCAGUAUUUUUUUGCAGAAGCAUACAUCUCCAGGCUUACCCUGCAGAGUGAGGCUAUCUCCGAGCUUUUCACUGAGCUCUGCCACCAAGGAGUUGUGGCUCACUGAACCAUCUUUAAGAUGGUUCUUCAGAGACUUGCUAGAAACAAAUGGGUAACAGUAAGCAGUGGGGAAUGAAGUGAGUGGCCCUGUCUGUGUUGCUCCCAAUCCUUAGGAAUAGCCCUAGAUGCAAUCAAUGGCUGCCUGCCGAAGGGAACUCCCAUCGUUCAGUGAGUCCAUGUGCCCAAUUUACAGUCAGCUAGCCCACAGGCACAGCAAGACAUGUGGGUUAAUGACAAGAUUCUUACCUCUGCAUCAAAGCAAAGACAAAAUGUCCCAGCUAAGUGAAUACAGAAAAAAAGUGACCCAAAUCAAAGUAGAAAGGUACCUACAAAAUAUUAGAGGACAGUGAGCCAGUGAUUCUUCUGCAAUACAUUUUUGAAGAACUGUGAACACAUAUCUACAUAAAACUGUGGAUAUUGACUGAAGAAUUACACAUCUGAAUCCCAAGGAGGAAUUAAUGUCAUGUUCAUCUUCAGAUGAAUGGAUAAAGACAUGUAGCAUAUCUGUACAAUGGAAUAUUAUUAGUUAGACAAUAGAAUAAGGAUGAAGCUCUGAUACAUGUCUCAAUGUGGAUAAGCUUUGCGACCAUGAUGCUAAUUCAAAGAAAUGAGGUGCAAAGACUAUUAUAUUAUUCUUCUUGUUUAUAACACCCCAAAUAGACAAAUCCAUAGAGUCAGGAAGUUGAGCAAGGGGCAAAUGAGGGAAAGAUAGUAAGUAUGACCAGGUCUCUAAGGGAAGCUGGAAGUGUUUGGAAAACAGUGGUGACAGUUAACCAGCUACAUGCACAUGCUAAAUGAACACAGAAUUGGACACAUUGCAUGAGUAGAUUUCUUUAUAGUACAGGGAUUAUAUCUCAAUAACAAAAAUUGUGAAGCCAUUGUGAUACAAGGAAAUUUAGAGGAAGAGAGUUUUCAGAGAUGAUUGUCACCACGUUCUCUCUCCAGAGCAACAGAAUUUGAUCACGUGCUAUGGGAGGUGUGGUAUGUCUCAGCACUCAUCAAACAGAGCCUGCUAACAGUGAGAGACAGACUUAGCUCCUGAGCUCUUGAAGGAUAUCAUCCAGUAGUGGGCGUGCAUAUUAAUAUGAUAAUUUUAUAAAUAAGUACUGUUAAAAAUGGAUGAAUGGGUAAAUAGAUAUAGGUAUGCAGAAGAUAUAUAGAUGAUAUACAGAUGAUAAAUGAUAGAUGAUAGAUAGAUAGAUAGAUAGAUAGAUAGAUAGAUAGAUAGAUAGAUAGAUAGAUAGAUAGAUAGUAGCUGACUGAUAAAGGUGACAAAAGAGAAAUGACAGAUGAUUGAUUGGUAGAUAAUAUAUGCAUAUGUAGAAGGGGUAAUAUUAAGUGUUUAAAUGUGAAGUUCUGCUGUAUCAUUCAGCAAAGCUUAAUCAAUUUCAUUCCAUAAAACUCUUGAGCCACCAGUAACAUCCUAAUAUCUAGUGAUACUGGGUUUACUCAGUCCUUAAACCAAAAUUAUUUUUUCUUGUGACCCCCACAACAACAAAGAAAAGGGCAGUGAGACCAUCAUUCUUACCACUGGCUGACAGGGCAGAUCAUAGUAAGAGACAUUUGCUACCCCGUGACCAUUGGCAGAGCAAUAGAGGCCACUUUGGGAUGAUCCCAGUGAAACACACACUAAAGACUCACUUUAAAGGUGGAGAAAAUCAGACUCUCAGACACAAAGUGGUGCACCGAAGGGCUGGUAACUUGAAUAGUAGACCUGGGGCUUAAACUCAGGAAUUCUGUGCUCCAGCUCUUAAGUACCAAUUGCCACUCACCAGUAUGAAGAAAUAUCACAAAAAAAGUAAUGGAUGACCCUGGGCUAGUGAGCAUUCCCUCAAGACAAUCCACUUUUGUGUCUAUCUAUGUAAGCCUCAAGAGGAGGGGAAUUAUAUCCCACAUCUCACAGAAGACUGUGUGAUAAGGGAGGCCAUGUCUCAGGAGCCUAAAAAAAUAGGCAUUAAUCUGGCAUAUGUAUCAUUCCCAACCAAAUCAUACUUAGAUAUGCUAAGCCCACCUAGUAUUUAUAUCUUUAUGAUGGUUCAAUCUCAUCUUUAAAUUGUCAGGAUUUAUAAUCACCAUAGAAACACACAUCUAGGUGUAUAUACUAGAAUGUUUCCAGAAAAACAUGAAAGAACUCAUCCUGAGUGGCAUAGUAGCAUCCCAGGAACCAGGAUCUCAGACUGAAUUAAAAGAUGAGGCAGACUAAGCACCAUUUACCUAUCACCCUCUGCUUCCUGACUAUAGAAUGAAUCCAUGUAACCUCACACUUUCGCUACUGUGCCUCCCUGCCAUGAUAGCCAGCACCUUUAAACUGUGAGAAAAAAAUAAACAUUUCCUUCUUCAA